CAUUUCCUCCUCGAUUAAUUUCUUUUUCGUGUGACUCUCUCUCUCUCGGUUGCGAUUUCAUCGACGAGACAAACGAUGAAUUUGGAAUCAGAAGCUUGAAUCAAUUGGAAACGAUGAAUUUGAUAACAGGAGUCGAUUAAAUCGGUAGAGAGGUUGAAUCAAUUGGAAUCAGAAAGGUGGUGAGUUGUUUGAUAGGAUCGUCAAGAGAGGUCAUUACAGUGAGAGAGAAGCUGCUAAGCUUAUCAAAACUAUUGUUCGGGUCGUUGAGGCUUGUCCUCUCUGUUUUCUGCAAACCAGAAUAUGAGAAUCGGGAACCACGGGGCGUUACAGUUGGCAGGCGUUGGUGCUUGGAGGGGUUUUCAGCCCUAUCAUGGUAGCAGCUGGUCGGAAAAACGGGCUUUGGUCAUUUGGAUUGUUCGGUCUUGCUAUAGGUUUGAUGGGGUUGUUUGCGGUGGGAUUGCCAGAGACUAGAGGGAGUGAUCUAUGCGACACUAUGGACGAGGAAGAGUGCAAAGAUCAGCGGAGCAAAAACGAUAACACCGAUAGGGUGAUUGUUGCAUGAUAUAUGAUAUGUAAACUUAUAUAUUAAUGUAGAAUCAAAUAUUAAUCACGUGAUUAAUUAUCAUUUUGUUUAUCUAACUUUAAGCUCAAUGACACUACACCUAUACGUAGGACAUUUAUUUUUUA